rnacentral:rRNA from 1 species
UAGGGAAUCUUCCACAAUGGACGCAAGUCUGAUGGAGCAACGCCGCGUGAGUGAAGAAGGGUUUCGGCUCGUAAAACUCUGUUGUUAAAGAAGAACAUAUCUGAGAGUAACUGUUCAGGUAUUGACGGUAUUUAACCAGAAAGCCACGGCUAACUACGUGCCNG